rnacentral:rRNA from 1 species
UACGUAGGGCGCAAGCGUUGUCCGGAAUUAUUGGGCGUAAAGAGCUCGUAGGCGGCCUGUUGCGUCCGCUGUGAAAACCCGGGGCUUAACCCCGGGCUUGCAGUGGAUACGGGCAGGCUGGAGGCAGGCAGGGGAGAACGGAAUUCCUGGUGUAGCGGUGAAAUGCGCAGAUAUCAGGAGGAACACCGAUGGCGAAGGCAGGUCUCUGGGCAUUAACUGACGCUGAGGAGCGAAAGCAUGGGGAGCGAACAGG